UACGAAGGGGGCUAGCGUUGUUCGGAAUUACUGGGCGUAAAGCGCACGUAGGCGGAUUAGUAAGUCAGGGGUGAAAUCCCGGGGCUCAACCUCGGAACUGCCUUUGAUACUGCUGAUCUCGAGUCCGGAAGAGGUGAGUGGAAUUCCUAGUGUAGAGGUGAAAUUCGUAGAUAUUAGGAAGAACACCAGUGGCGAAGGCGGCUCACUGGUCCGGUACUGACGCUGAGGUGCGAAAGCAUGGGGAGUAAACAUG
rnacentral:rRNA from 1 species